rnacentral:rRNA from 1 species
UGGGGAAUAUUGCACAAUGGGCGCAAGCCUGAUGCAGCCAUGCCGCGUGUAUGAAGAAGGCCUUUGGGUUGUAAAGUACUUUCAGCGGGGAGGAAGGGAGUAAAGUUAAUACCUUUGCUCAUUGACGUUACCCGCAGAAGAAGCACCGGCUAACUCCGUGCCAGCAGACGCGGUAAUACGGAGGGUGCAAGCGUUAAUCGGAAUUACUGGGCGUAAAGCGCACGCAGGCGGUCUGUCAAGUCGGAUGUGAAAUCCCCGGGCUUAACCUGGGAACUGCAUUCGAAACUGGCAGGCUAGAGUCUUGUAGAGGGGGGUAGAAUUCCAGGUGUAGCGGUGAAAUGCGUAGAGAUCUGGAGGAAUACCGGUGGCGAAGGCGGCCCCCUGGACAAAGACUGCCGCUCAGGUGCGAAAGCGUGGGGGGCAAACAGG